AAAGAAAGGAAGCUUUUCCAUUCUAUUCUCUCUAUUCUUUUGCGAUUUAAACACACUGUAAUCUCAUCCAAUGAUAGCAGAAACCAAACCUCUUUCCAGGUUGACAACUAUAAGGAAAAAUGCAGAGAUAAUUACAAAUGGAAAGAAGCUAAACAAAUGCUUCCAGCAACACACAUAGUCCUAUUGAAAAGCACAUAUGCCACUCUCUUUUCUGUCUGGCAAGUUUCUCCCCCCUCAAACUAAUCAUCCAAUGAUAGCAGAAACCAAACCUCUUUCCAGGUUGACAACUAUAAGGAAAAAUGCAGAGAUAAUUACAAAUGGAAAGAAGCUAAAACAAAUGCUUCCAGCAACACACAUAGUCCUAUUGAAAAGCACAUAUGCCACUCUCUUUUCUGUCUGGCAAGUUUCUCCCCCCUCAAAAUAAUCAUCCAAGGUGCUAAAGGUUCAAACUCCAAAUAUGUGCAGAUAAGAAAUCCUUUGAAAUGAAAUACCUUCUCUCUAAAAGGCAUAACUCAUAUCAGGCCCCAUGUCAGAAUACUAACUUCAACUAUUAUCAGUCUGAAUUUGUACACUAUGCAGGAAGAAGAGAAACUUUCUUGGUGUCUCCACUCGACUCUCCCCACCAUUUAGCACAUUAUCAUUGUUAUUUUCCUUGUUUAAUAUUGGUAGAAAAAAAUAUGCACAAACACAGUGUGCACCAAGAUUUCCAGCAUAAACUACAGCUGACCUGUGAUCCAUUAUCAAGAACAGUAGCUGUGGUUGUGAAUUGACACUCUGCCCGAUCAACUUCAUUAAAAUCUGAGUCCUUCAGUAUUGCUGCAACAAAGAAUAACAUAGAAGAUGUGGCAUCUCCGUAAUCAUCCACUACAUCUCAUGCCCUCCUCAUUAAUAUCUUACCUGAGCAGAUAUACUUUGCAGCUUGAUCACUUGCUGGGUACAACUUGAAUGCUCGAGUCAUGACUUCAUUUGGCUUCAUUAUAUAAAAUUGUUCCUGCAGCGCCAUAAGUUUUACUAAAGUAAUUUCUUCUGAAAUAAUCAUGACUUUGUGUCAUAUAUCAGCAAUAAGUAUGAUAACCUCCAUUUGGCUGACACCGGCUGAGCAUUCGAACUGCAUGAUGAAAAGGUCAAUUAUGAAUAAUUAUUCAAGCAGACGAAUUGAAGUAUAUCUGUGAUUGAACAAGAACAGCAAAUUGACCUGCUAAAAUCAGAAUUAAGUCUACAGGCUUGCGAUGCUUUAAUAAAGUUUCUGUUCUCCAACACCUAUGUGCUUUUCUAAAAUCCCAUAACAAAUUGUGAAAUUUCUGAAUAAAAGAGAAAAAAAGGAAAUGAUACACCAAAGGACCUCGCAGAUAUUUAACUAUUGUCCACUGGUGAAAUUUGCUUAGAUUAGAUCUGGGGUAGUACAAAGGAAAUUAUCAAGUUGGUAAAUCGA
rnacentral:lncRNA from 1 species